rnacentral:rRNA from 1 species
UACGGAGGGUGCAAGCGUUAUCCGGAUUCACUGGGUUUAAAGGGUGCGUAGGCGGGCAGGUAAGUCCGUGGUGAAAUCUCUGAGCUUAACUCAGAAACUGCCAUGGAUACUAUUUGUCUUGAAUGUUGUGGAGGUAAGCGGAAUAUGUCAUGUAGCGGUGAAAUGCUUAGAUAUGACAUAGAUCACCAAUUGCGAAGGCAGCUUACUACACAAAUAUUGACGCUGAGGCACGAAAGCGUGGGGAUCAAACAGG